AACGAACGCUGGCGGCAUGCCUAACACAUGCAAGUCGAACGAGACCUUCGGGUCUAGUGGCGCACGGGUGCGUAACGCGUGGGAACCUGCCCUUAGGUUCGGAAUAACUCCCCGAAAGGGGUGCUAAUACCGGAUAAUGUCUUCGGACCAAAGAUUUAUCGCCUUUGGAUGGGCCCGCGUUGGAUUAGCUAGUUGGUAGGGUAAAAGCCUACCAAGGCGACGAUCCAUAGCUGGUCUGAGAGGAUGGUCAGCCACACUGGGACUGAGACACGGCUCAGACUCCUACGGGAAGCAGCAGUGGGGAAUAUUGGACAAUGGGCGAAAGCCUGAUCCAGCAAUGCCGCGUGAGUGAUGAAGGCCUUAGGGUUGUAAAGCUCUUUUACCCGGGAUGAUAAUGACAGUACCGGGAGAAUAAGCUCCGGCUAACUCCGUG
rnacentral:rRNA from 1 species